GAUGAACGCUAGCGGCAGGCCUAACACAUGCAAGUCGAGGGAUAAGCCUUCGGGCUAAGACCGGCGCACGGGUGCGUAACGCGUAUACAAUCUGCCUUUUAUCCGGGGGAUAGCCCGAAGAAAUUUGGAUUAAUACCCUAUGGUAUAAGAGCACGGCAUCGUGCACUUAUUAAAGCUACGGCGGUAAAAGAUGAGUAUGCGUUCUAUUAGCUAGUUGGAGAGGUAACGGCUCCCCAAGGCGACGAUAGAUAGGGGUUCUGAGAGGGAUGUCCCCCACACUGGUACUGAGAUACGGACCAGACUCCUACGGGAGGCAGCAGUGAGGAAUAUUGGACAAUGGUCGGAAGACUGAUCCAGCCAUGCCGCGUGCAGGAUGACGGCCUUAUGGGUUGUAAACUGCUUUUGUAAGGGAAGAAUAAGGAGUACGUGUACUUUGAUGACGGUACCUUACGAAGAAGCAUCGGCUAACUCCGU
rnacentral:rRNA from 1 species